rnacentral:misc_RNA from 1 species
CUCGCUCUCGCCGCCGCCUUCGCCGCCGCAGCUACUGCCGCCCGUAAUUCUCGAAUCCCCCGCCGCCGUUUCCCGUAAUUCUCGAAUCCCCCCGACGUCUCCUUACUCGAAUUUCAGAUUUCAUUCAGCUGCAGUCGGAGACGGCCAUGGAACGCGAUGCCGGCGCCCAGGUCGCCUCCCCCGCCUUUUUCCUCCACCCCAGCCGCUUCCACGACUCCACUCUCUCCGGCAAGAAGCGGGAGCCGCCGUGGCAAAACCCUAGCUUCCGCCGCCCGACGCCGCAGAUUUCAUCCCCCGUGAUCCCCACCCCGAGUCGCAAUUGGAACCCGGAUCAGUGGGACUGGGACAGCCGCGGCUUUGCCGCCAAACCAGCAAAGCUGGAUGGG